rnacentral:lncRNA from 1 species
CUUCAACCAAGUACCCCACAAGCUCAUAGGAAGCAUUUUUCCUCUUGCUGUUGAGAGCUUGAACCGCAGCAGUGAGAGAUGAUUGGGACUGAGCUUCAAGGACCACAUACACAAUUUUCACUGUUGGCAGGUUUUGAUCAUUCUCUGGGAUGAUUCUACGAACUUCUUGUGUGGUUUGGGUGAAGAGACCAUUGCCGACACCACUGAAUUCACAAACGGUUUCUUCGUGAUAGGAUCAAUCAGAAACUUCUCCACAGGCCCUGAGAAGUCAAGGCCACCAGCAAAAAGUGGAACAACCUUAGCCCCUCUAGCCUCCAGUUCCAUGAUCACAGCCACAUAGUGUCCAUCAUCACCAGUCACAAUAUGACUCCUCUGAAGAAUCAAACCAAUCACAGGAGCAUCUGGACUCUUCAGCUUCUCAUUAGCAUCCCUUCUAGUUCCAUACCAAUUCAAAUACUCCUUCACAUCAUCAUACAUACAAGGAGCAAGAGGGUGCCAAAUUCCACUGUCCAAAUACAAAACUGGCUCAGCAUACUCAAUCUUUGUCCCUUUCAGUGCUGGAACAUAAGACCCAGAAAUCAUCUUCAAAAAAUUCUGCAAGUUAUCAGGUGACCCUCCAAGCCAAAACUGCAGACUCAAUAUGUAAAGCCUAGCAUCCUGUGCCUUAUCACUAGGCAAAUACUUCAAAACCUUAGGCAAUGUCCUCACAAGCUUCAACAUACUAUCAGCAAACCCUGCAGAAUUAGGCUUCUUUCUCUUGAAAAGCUGAAAAAAUGGGCUUUUUGAUUGGCCAAGUUGUGACAUGCUGAAGGAUCCCAACUUGUUAAGCCUCAUCACUUCAGGCAUUGAAGGAAACACCAGAACUGCAUCAAGCCUGUCCCUUUCUUUCUCCACUGCAGCUUUCACCUUUAGGGCAAGCUCCUCCACAAAAAUCAAAGACCCUAUGAAGACAUUGGCAUCUUCCAAGUCCUUGCAGAAGGAUUUGUAGUUUGUCACAUCACGAAGCUCUUCAACCAAGUACCCCACAAGCUCAUAGGAAGCAUUUUUCCUCUUGCUGUUGAGAGCUUGAACUGCAGCAGUGAGAGAUGAUUGGUACUGAGCUUCAAGGACCACAUACACAAUUUUCACUGUUGGCAGGUUUUGAUCAUUCUCUGGGAUGAUUCUACGAACUUCUUGUGUGGUUUGGGUGAAGAGACCAUUGCCAAUUGCAGCACAUUUCACUCUGAGAGAGGAUUUUGUGCUGUUAUGGUGAAUGCCCUUCUUUGGGAGAAAGGAGUGAAGGAA